rnacentral:rRNA from 1 species
UAGGGAAUCUUCCACAAUGGACGCAAGUCUGAUGGAGCAACGCCGCGUGAGUGAAGAAGGGUUUCGGCUCGUAAAGCUCUGUUGUUAAAGAAGAACGUGGGUGAGAGUAACUGUUCACCCAGUGACGGUAUUUAACCAGAAAGCCACGGCUAACUACGUGCCGG